UAAAAGUUUUUUUGCUUUGGGGUUUUGGAAAAUUUUGGGUUAGAUGCAAGUUUUGGCUAAAAAUAAUAUUAUAUUUAAAUAAUGAAUGGAAUUUGAUGGGGCAGUUUCAAAAAUUAAAUAUUCGGGGGGCCGAGAUAUAGUAGAAGUUUUUAGUACAAACCAAAUUUGUGCCAGCAGUUGCGGUUAUACAAAUUGUGCAACAGAAGUUUAUUGGGGAUAGUUAAACUUUAAAGAAAUUUGUAAAUUAGAACAUAUUUUAUUAGGUGAAAUUUUAAAAUAUGAAAAGUUUAUUAGAAAAUGUUGAGGCUAGGAAAUUUUAUAAAAAACUAGGAUUAGAUACCCUAUUAUAAAAACGAAAAAGUUAAAGCCUAAAUUAUUAGUAGUUAAGUUCUUGAAAAUUAAGAAAGAUGGCGGUGUUUUAGUCUAUUCAGAGGAAUCUGCCCUGUAAUUGAUAUUCCACGAUUAAAGUUACUUUAGGUUUUAGCUUAUAUAUCGCUGUGGUUUGAAUAUUUUUAUUGAAUUUUAAUAUUCAGGAUUUUUAGUGAAAGGAUUUCAAGUCAAGAUGUAGCUUAUACUUAAGAAGAGGUGGAUUACAUUAUUGUUUUAUUUGUGGUUAAUUUUUUGAAAAAUUAUUAUAAAAUGGAUUUGAAAGUAAUUUUUUACUAAUAUUUUAAAAAUGAUUAAAGCUCUAAAAUAUGUACAUAUCGCCCGUCGCUUUCACUCUAAAGUGGAAUAAGUCGUAACAUAGUAGAUGUACUGGAAAGUGUCUCUAGAAGA
rnacentral:ncRNA from 1 species